UACGGAGGGUGCAAGCGUUGUUCGGAUUUACUGGGCGUAAAGCGCGCGCAGGCGGGUGACCAAGUCGGAUGUGAAAUCUCGAGGCUCAACCUCGAGGCUGCUCCCGAAACUGGUCGCCUAGGGACUGGUAGAGGCUGGUAGAAUUCCCGGUGUAGCGGUGGAAUGCGUAGAGAUCGGGAAGAAUACCUGUGGCGAAGGCGGCCAGCUGGGCCAGAUCCGACACUGAGGCGCGAAAGCGUGGGGAGCAAACAGG
rnacentral:rRNA from 1 species